UCGAGCGAGAAAGGGGAGCAAUCCCUGAGUAAAGCGGCGCACGGGUGAGUAACACGUGGGGCAUCUACCUCCUGAUGGGGAAUAACUCUGGGAAACCGGAGCUAAUACCGCAUAAGCCUGAGAAGGGAAAGUCGCAAGACGUCGGGAGAGGACCCCGCGGCCGAUUAGCUAGUUGGUGAGGUAACGGCUCACCAAGGCAAAGAUCGGUAGCCGGCCUGAGAGGGCACACGGCCACACUGGCACUGAAACACGGGCCAGACUCCUACGGGAGGCAGCAGUGGGGAAUCUUGCACAAUGGGGGAAACCCUGAUGCAGCGACGCCGCGUGAGCGAUGAAGCCCUUCGGGGCGUAAAGCUCUUUCGGCCCGAACGAUAAUGACGGUACGGGAAGAAGAAGCUGCGGCUAACUACGUGCCAGCAGCCGCGGUAAUACGUAGGCAGCAAGCGUUGUUCGGAGUUACUGGGCGUAAAGAGUGCGUAGGCGGUGUCGAAAGUUUGGCGUGAAAUCUCCCGGCUUAACUGGGAGGGUGCGCCGAAAACUGCGAUGCUGGAGUGUGGGAAAGGCAAGCGGAAUUCCUGGUGUAGCGGUGAAAUGCGUAGAUAUCAGGAGGAACACCGGCGGUGUAGACGGCUUGCUAGACCAUAACUGACGCUGAGGCACGAAAGCGUGGGUAGCAAACAGGAUUAGAUACCCUGGUAGUCCACGCCCUAAACGAUGCAUACUUGGUGUGGGCAGUUCAUUCUGUCCGUGC
rnacentral:rRNA from 1 species